rnacentral:rRNA from 1 species
UGGGGAAUAUUGCACAAUGGGCGAAAGCCUGAUGCAGCGACGCCGCGUGAGGGAUGACGGCCUUCGGGUUGUAAACCUCUUUCAGCAGGGAAGAAGCGAAAGUGACGGUACCUGCAGAGGAAGCGCCGGCUAACUACGUGCCAGCAACCGCGGUAAUACGUAGGGCGCAAGCGUUGUCCGGAAUUAUUGGGCGUAAAGAGCUCGUAGGCGGUUAGUCGCGUCUGCUGUGAAAACUCGAGGCUCAACCUCGGGCUUGCAGUGGGUACGGGCUGACUAGAGUGCGGUAGGGGUGACUGGAAUUCCUGGUGUAGCGGUGGAAUGCGCAGAUAUCAGGAGGAACACCGAUGGCGAAGGCAGGUCACUGGGCCGCAACUGACGCUGAGGAGCGAAAAGCAUGGGGAGCGAACAGGAUUAGAUACCCUGGUAGUCCAUGCCGU